GAGAAAAAAAAAAAUUAUAAUAUUAUUAUUAUUCGGCUAGCGCACGAAACGCCGGCCGUCGCGAGCGGGUUGGCGGCAACAAUCGCGCGCGCUGCUGUUUUUUUCUCUCUGUAAUCGGCCGGGUGCGGGUGUCGCGGAGAACGUGUGUUUGACCACAUGCGAGACACGUUAUCGAAUCGGUCGGUACAACGAUAUUAUAUUAUUACAAAACGAUAAUACGAGA